GACAGAGGGUGCAAACGUUGUUCGGAAUUACUGGGCGUAAAGCGUGUGUAGGCGGUCCUCUAAGUCGGAUGUGAAAUCCCUGGGCUCAACCCAGGAAGUGCACUCGAAACUGGAGGGCUAGAGUAUCGGAGAGGUUGGUGGAAUUCUCGGUGUAGAGGUGAAAUUCGUAGAUAUCGGGAGGAACACCAGUGGCGAAGGCGGUUGCCUGGAGCUUUGCUGACGCUGAGGCGCGAAAGCGUGGGGAGCGAUCCGG
rnacentral:rRNA from 1 species